AUGCACCUCCCUAUCAACAUUUCUAGGAAUAUGAACAGCCUCAACAACUUUAGUGAACGAACUAAAAAUAUCCGGAAAACAAGGAGUGAAGGUACGAAGUCUAUUUAAAGCAAAAUUUAUUGGAGCCCCUGAUCAUGAGCUUUUUAAGUCCUUUGAUUAUUGCAUAGCUUUUAGCAUGAAGAGGGAUAGAGGCGUAGCAGGUCGAGGCACCUUCUGCAAGCCGUUUAACCAAAACCUGCACGCACAAUAGAUCAGAAUUAACUGAGCCAUAUAGGUUAUAGUUAGAACAGUUGAUUAUUGGCUAGAUGAUUUAGGGCAUACAGGUUUUGGAUGGGAGGAUAAGUCUCCUCAUAUUUUGUUCCGUAUCGGAUGGUGAGAGCCCUAGCCUGGUGGUUGUGAAAGCAUGAAUCAUUUUGGUUUGGCCAAGGAUGCCAUAAUGAGUUUGCAAUGAUGUCUCUUUAGUAGAG
rnacentral:lncRNA from 1 species